rnacentral:rRNA from 1 species
GCUAGGGGCGCAGCAGUGGGGAAUAUUGCACAAUGGGGGAAACCCUGAUGCAGCGACGCCGCGUGAGUGAAGAAGUAAUUCGUUACGUAAAGCUCUAUCAGCAGGGAAGAAAAUGACGGUACCUGAGUAAGAAGCCCCGGCUAACUACGUGCCAGCAGCCGCGGUAAUACGUAGGGGGCAAGCGUUAUCCGGAAUUACUGGGUGUAAAGGGAGCGUAGACGGCUGUGCAAGUCUGGAGUGAAAGGCGGGGGCCCAACCCCCGGACUGCUCUGGAAACUGUAUGGCUGGAGUGCAGGAGAGGAAAG